AUGGCAAGCAACUCGCGCGUCCGUGUCUUGAGCCGGAGCACCGUGAAGGCGUUAGGCUCCUCCGCCACACCCGCACCACCGCGCGUCCUCGCAGUCUCCAACCUCGACCUGCUACCCCAGAACAUCCCCGUCUCGCUCUUCUGCGCCUACCGGAGGCCCUCCUCCGGCGCCGGCUUCCGCGACGUCGUCGCGGCCUUCGAGGCGAAGCUGCCGUCCCUGCUCGACCACUUCCUCCCCCUGACCGGUCGCAUCGUCGUCGACCCGCGGUCCGGGCGCCCGGAGAUGCUGCACUGCGACAACCAGGGCGCCGAGCUCGUCCUCGCCGAGUCCGGCGUGGCCCUGGCGAGCCUGGACUACGGCCACCUUGGCGCGUCGCUGGCGGAGGUCGGCGUCCCCGUCAAGUACGACGCUGGCGUCGCGCUCUCGGUGCAGCUGGUGUCGUUCGCCUGCGGUGGGUUCGCCAUAGCGUGGGCCAGCAACCACGUGCUCAUGGACGGCUACUCGCUGUGCAUUAUCGCCACCGCGUGGUCAGAGCUUGCGCGAACCGGGGCGGUCGUCUCCGUCGCCCCGAACCACGACCGCUCCGUGUUCCGCCCACGCGCUACGCCGUCCUACGGCCCCUCCUUCGGCGAGCAGUUCACGCCGCUGGACGGUGCGCACCUCGUCAACGCCCUGACCACCCAGUGCUCCUUCGUCGAGCGCACGUACUACGUCGAGGCGCGGGACCUCGAGACGCUGCGCUCUCAGGCGAGCCAGGACGGUGUGGUGGCCACCCGCCUCGAGGCGCUGUCCGCGUACCUGUGGAAGGCCUUCGCCGCCGUCGUGGGCGCGUCCGACGAGAGCUGCCGCAUGGGCUGGUGGGUGAACGGGCGCCGCCGUCUCUCCGCGCCGAGGUACAGAGCGGCGAUGCGGGACUACGUCGGCAACGUCACCACGUUCGCGGUGGCUGAGGCGGGCGUGGAGGACACCCGCCGGCGGUCGCUCCAAGACAUCGCGUCGACGGUGCGCGAGACGAUCAGGUCCACGGCCACGGACGAGCACUUCCAGCAGCUGGUGGACUGGGUGGAGGAGCACAGGGCUACGAAGUACAUCGAGACGGCCACCGUCGGGCUGGGUAGCCCGGCGCUGAGCGUGACGUCGUUCGCGACGUUCAGUUUGGACACCGACUUCGGCUUCGGUCGCGCCGCGCUGACGAUGCCCACAGGGGAGGACUGCGGGAGGCUGUGCAGUGGCUUCGUGCAGAUCAUCGCGCGCCCGGGAGAUGACGGCUGGCUUGUCGCCAUGUACGUCUGGCCGAGGCUCGCCGGCGCGCUUGAUUCCGACGACAGGCGCAUCUUCAAGCCUCUGACCGCUGACUACCUCGGCCUCUGUCAGUAUAGCCGUCUCUGA
rnacentral:rRNA from 1 species